AUAUAAAAUAUUUGUGGAACAUUACUCAAAAAUUCCGAACGAGGGACAAUUUUACAGGGGACAGAAAGUUUGAAAAAAUGCAUCCCGGGUGAUUGGAACAUGUUGAUCAAGAAAUGAAUCCAAAUCAGUGAAUAGCAUUCGUUUCUCACGAUUUUGAAAGCAUGAAUAGCUGCCCCUUAGCGUCUUUCCUUUGCUAGCGUAUACUCAUAAUUGAAUUACCCAAGGUUUCUGGAAAGUCCCAAAACUACUAAAAUUCAGACAAAACGUAAAAAACCAUCAAACAAACACGUUUUGAAAAUAUGUCGGACAACUAAAAAUCUUCAGCAUAACGAUAAUGUAUAUGUAUAAAUCGUAUAUGGAUAUGGAAACUUCUUUAAGUUCUGCAAUAGCUAUAAAUGAGAUACGAAAUAUAAAAGUGUAUUAAUAA